rnacentral:pre_miRNA from 1 species
AAAAAGAGAAACCUGGUUUCCGUGUCCAACGUUUCACCGUCCGUCUUAUUUAAAAAAAUUAUAAAAAAAUUUAAAAAGAUAAGUCAAGCAUAAAGUAUUAAUCAUGUUUUAUCAUCUAACAACAAUGAAAAUACUAAUUAUAAAAAAAUUUCAUAUAAGACGGACAGUCAAACGUUGGCACGGGAACCCACAGUUUGUCUUUUU